UUUGAACAUUGAAAUUUUGUAAUGAUGACAUUUUUUGGUCUGCCAUAAAGGGGAAUACUUACUUUGUACAAAAACAGCUCUUGUUUGUAUAUUUAUUUAGAGAGAGCACGUGCGCCCGCGCGCGCACACACACACACACACACACACACACACACACACGAGCAAGCAGAAGAGAGAGAUCUCAGUCAGGCUUCAUUCAUGCCCAGUGCAGAGCCUGACUCAGGGCUUCGUCAUGAUCUCAGGGCUGUGAGUUCAUGCCCCCUUGCUGACAGAACAGAGCCUACCUAGGUUUCUCUCUCUGUCCCUCCUCCGCUCAUGCUGUCUCUCUCUGUCUCUCUCUUUCUCUCUGAAUAAAUAAAUAAAUAAACCUAAAAAAAAUUUCUGGUCCUUUCCAAAGUGACUGUGAGGUUGAAUACCAAGCUUACCAAGUGUUUUGUGUUUUAGUGCCUUUUUUUUUUUUUAAUGUUUAUUUAUUUUUGAGAGAAAGAGAGAAAGAGUGAGUAUAGGCAGGGGAGAGGCAGAGACAGAGGGAGACACAGAAUCCAAAGCAGGCUCCAGGUUCUGAGCUGUCAGCACAGAGCCCAACUUGGGGCUUGAACCCAUGAACUGUGAGAUUGGGACUUGAGUCAAAGUCAGACGCUUAAUUGGCUGAGCCACCCACGUGCCCCUUAGCACUUUUUUUAAAUAUUAAAAAAUUAUCCCCUGAUCGUUAUUUUUCUGUUUCUUUUAAGAAAGUAAUACAUAAUGUGGCUAAAAAGGAAAGCUAGCAAAAACGUACAUAAACAUUUAUAUAUGUACAUAAACAUUUUAUUAAUUUCACUAAUUUAUGUCUAGAAUCCAGAGCUAUGUUUUGCCCACAGCACAUUGUGUUUCAGUUACCAAAAUAGUUAUCAGGAAAAAAUAAUUACUUAAUGCAAUUUUCUGAGGUACAUUUCAAUUUUAGGGAUUACUGGGUACAAAGAGAAGUUGAGAAAGUAGUACCAUUCAGUUAGUAGUAGAUUAUAUUUUAGAUUUGCAGGGAGUUAAUUUUUUUAUAGCCAAUAUAACAGAUACUGAUGAUUGUAUUUUUAAAACCUUUGCAUUGUGCUGACAAUAAGGUGCCAAAGGAAUGUGAUUUUUAUGGUUUUACUUUGUGUAUGGCAAAGAAA